rnacentral:lncRNA from 1 species
CAGCGGGCCCAGGAGCUCCUAGUCAUGGGAUUUCAUGGACCUAUCACUUUUUAAAAGUUAGGUCUGCUCACUCUGUGUCAUCAAGGACAGACCCAAUGGCCCUAACACGAACCCACUGCCAUUUGUUAUCUCCAAGCAGCAGAGCUCUCAGCAUCAAGGACUUUCUAAGAAAGGACCAUGGUGAUGGCUUUGUGACCUGCCUGGUCUGACCACGGAUAACUGGC